rnacentral:rRNA from 1 species
CCUACGGGAGGCAGCAGUGAGGAAUAUUGGUCAAUGGACGAGAGUCUGAACCAGCCAAGUAGCGUGAAGGAUGACUGCCCUAUGGGUUGUAAACUUCUUUUAUAUGGGAAUAAAACGUUCCACGUGUGGGAUUUUGUAUGUACCAUAUGAAUAAGGAUCGGCUAACUCCGUGCCAGCAGCCGCGGUAAUACGGGGGAUCCGAGCGUUAUCCGGAUUUAUUGGGUUUAAAGGGAGCGUAGGUGGAUUGUUAAGUCAGUUGUGAAAGUUUGCGGCUCAACCGUAAAAUUGCAGUUGAAACUGGCAGUCUUGAGUACAGUAGAGGUGGGCGGAAUUCGUGGUGUAGCGGUGAAAUGCUUAGAUAUCACGAAGAACUCCGAUUGCGAAGGCAGUUCACUGGACUGCAACUGACACUGAGGCUCGAAAGUGUGGGUAUCAAACAGGAUUAGAUACCCUAGUAGUC